rnacentral:rRNA from 1 species
UACAGAGGGGGCAAGCGUUAUUCGGAAUUAUUGGGCGUAAAGGGCGCGUAGGCGGCUUUGCAAGUGACGGGUGAAAUCCCUCGGCUUAACCGAGGAACUGCCUGUCAGACUGCAUGGCUUGAGACCGGGAGAGGUGAGUGGAAUUCCCAGUGUAGCGGUGAAAUGCGUAGAUAUUGGGAGGAACACCAGUGGCGAAGGCGGCUCACUGGACCGGUACUGACGCUGAGUAGCGAAAGCGUGGGGAG